GAAUUAUUGGGCGUAAAGCGCGCGCAGGUGGUUCCUUAAGUCUGAUGUGAAAGCCCACGGCUCAACCGUGGAGGGUCAUUGGAAACUGGGGAACUUGAGUGCAGAAGAGGAAAGUGGAAUUCCAAGGGUAGCGGUGAAAUGCGUAGAGAUUUGGAGGAACACCAGUGGCGAAGGCGACUUUCUGGUCUGUAACUGACACUGAGGCGCGAAAGCGUGGGGAGCAAACAGGAUUAGAUACCCUGGUAGUCCACGCCGUAAACGAUGAGUGCUAAGUGUUAGAGGGUUUCCGCCCUUUAGUGCUGC
rnacentral:rRNA from 1 species